rnacentral:rRNA from 1 species
CCUACGGGGGGCUGCAGUGGGGAAUAUUGGACAAUGGGGGCAACCCUGAUCCAGCCAUGCCGCGUGUGUGAAGAAGGCCCUCGGGUUGUAAAGCACUUUCAGUGAGGAAGAACGCCUGGUGGUUAAUACCCAUCAGGAAAGACAUCACUCACAGAAGAAGCACCGGCUAACUCCGUGCCAGCAGCCGCGGUAAUACGCAGGGUGCGAGCGUUAAUCGGAAUUACUGGGCGUAAAGCGCGCGUAGGUGGCUUGAUAAGCCGGUUGUGAAAGCCCCGGGCUCAACCUGGGAACGGCAUCCGGAACUGUCAAGCUAGAGUGCAGGAGAGGAAGGUAGAAUUCCCGGUGUAGCGGUGAAAUGCGUAGAGAUCGGGAGGAAUACCAGUGGCGAAGGCGGCCUUCUGGACUGACACUGACACUGAGGUGCGAAAGCGUGGGUAGCAAACAGGAUUAGAUACCCCAGUAGUC